rnacentral:rRNA from 1 species
UACGUAGGUGGCGAGCGUUGUCCGGAUUUAUUGGGCGUAAAGAGCCCGCAGGCGGCUCGGCAAGUUUCAGGUGAAAUCUCCCGGCUUAACCGGGAGGGUGCCUGGAAAACUGCCGGGCUUGAGGCAGGGAGAGGGAUGCGGAAUUCCCGGUGUAGUGGUGAAAUGCGUAGAUAUCGGGAGGAACACCAGUGGCGAAGGCGGGUCUCUGGGCCGGAUACUGACGCUGAGGAGCGAAAGCGUGGGGAGCAAACAGG